rnacentral:rRNA from 1 species
GAUGAACGCUGGCGGCGUGCCUAAUACAUGCAAGUCGAGCGAACGGACGAGAAGCUUGCUUCUCUGAUGUUAGCGGCGGACGGGUGAGUAACACGUGGAUAACCUACCUAUAAGACUGGGAUAACUUCGGGGAACCGGAGCUAAUACCGGAUAAUAUUUUGAACCGCAUGGUUCAAAAGUGAAAGACGGUCUUGCUGUCACUUAUAGAUGGAUCCGCGCUGCAUUAGCUAGUUGGUAAGGUAACGGCUUACCAAGGCAACGAUGCAUAGCCGACCUGAGAGGGUGAUCGGCCACACUGGAACUGAGACACGGUCCAGACUCCUACGGGAGGCAGCAGUAGGGAAUCUUCCGCAAUGGGCGAAAGCCUGACGGAGCAACGCCGCGUGAGUGAUGAAGGUCUUCGGAUCGUAAAACUCUGUUAUUAGGGAAGAACAUAUGUGUAAGUAACUGUGCACAUCUUGACGGUACCUAAUCAGAAAGCCAUGGCUAACUACGUGCCAGCAGCCGCGGUAAUACGUAGGUGGCAAGCGUUAUCCGGAAUUAUUGGGCGUAAAGCGCGCGUAGGCGGUUUUUUAAGUCUGAUGUGAAAGCCCACGGCUCAACCGUGGAGGGUCAUUGGAAACUGGAAAACUUGAGUGCAGAAGAGGAAAGUGGAAUUCCAUGUGUAGCGGUGAAAUGCGCAGAGAUAUGGAGGAACACCAGUGGCGAAGGCGACUUUCUGGUCUGUAACUGACGCUGAUGUGCGAAAGCGUGGGGAUCAAACAGGAUUAGAUACCCUGGUAGUCCACGCCGUAAACGAUGAGUGCUAAGUGUUAGGGGGUUUCCGCCCCUUAGUGCUGCAGCUAACGCAUUAAGCACUCCGCCUGGGGAGUACGACCGCAAGGUUGAAACUCAAAGGAAUUGACGGGGACCCGCACAAGCGGUGGAGCAUGUGGUUUAAUUCGAAGCAACGCGAAGAACCUUACCAAAUCUUGACAUCCUUUGACAACUCUAGAGAUAGAGCCUUCCCCUUCGGGGGACAAAGUGACAGGUGGUGCAUGGUUGUCGUCAGCUCGUGUCGUGAGAUGUUGGGUUAAGUCCCGCAACGAGCGCAACCCGUAAGCUUAGUUGCCAUCAUUAAGUUGGGCACUCUAAGUUGACUGCCGGUGACAAACCGGAGGAAGGUGGGGAUGACGUCAAAUCAUCAUGCCCCUUAUGAUUUGGGCUACACACGUGCUACAAUGGACAAUACAAAGGGCAGCGAAACCGCGAGGUCAAGCAAAUCCCAUAAAGUUGUUCUCAGUUCGGAUUGUAGUCUGCAACUCGACUACAUGAAGCUGGAAUCGCUAGUAAUCGUAGAUCAGCAUGCUACGGUGAAUACGUUCCCGGGUCU